rnacentral:lncRNA from 1 species
CAAAAGAAAAAAACUUAAUAUAAAACUAAAGAAAAGGAAAGAAAUAAGAAAAGACACAACAAGAAAAUGUCUGGUAAUGUGAAAAUCCAUCAGAUCUGUGCUCUCCUGGUUGGUUUCUUCCAACCUCAGCACAUCCAAAUGGAACCCCAUUGGAGGUGUGAGCUCUCAUAAUUCUUCAAGAUUAUUACUUCUGGUAUUUGAGGUACAGCAAAGCACUACAAUAUCAUGUCAGCCCCCAAUUCUCAGAGAUAUGAUUUAUAGCCAAGUUAGACCAGGUAUUGUAUCCAACUUUUCGUUCCAUAUGUAUCAUCCUAUCUAUUUCUCAAACUUAUGUAGCUUAUGUAAAUAUGCCAUGAGACCCUUAAUUCCGACCAUAAGUUGAGAAAAUUGUGUUUUGCUACUAUCAAUCAUGAUUUCUUUCCCUUUCUAGAUCCCGAUGGGUUGAGUCUCAAGAGACUAAUACCACCAUCUGAGAUAAAAGAUUGGGUGAGAAAGUCACAACUUUUAGUAGCUGAAAAUCAUGUGAACUUUUGCAGAUUACAAAGAAAAAUUGGAGUCAUCAGCUUACCUUCCAUCAAAACUAAUGUCCUGAUUUGGUAUUAGGCGAACACCUCAAUGCUCUCACCAGAUGCAAAUACUCAAACCAUUACGAAAUUACUUCAGACAAUAGUUAACGAAUUUAGAUACUAACAACCAAUUCCCUUUUAUUUCUACCAGAACUUGUAAUCUUCAUAAAUAUGUUAUCAGUGUAUUGAUUUAAUCUACUAGUCUUCUUCUAAUGUGAGGAGUGCCACUCUUGUCCAAGUUUAGAAUUCUCUGCCCUUCCAUAGGAAUGUCUUGGAAAUGGCUAAAUUGAUAAUUACCUGCAAGAUCAAAAACUAGGUUAGCAAAAUAAUCAUCUAGAGUAUUUCCUUCUCGAAAGAUAUGUUGUACUCUCGCUGAUAAUGAUCUCCUCAAAUAGCUUAUGGAAUUGACCUCUAGUGUCACACUCUAAGGGACAUCCCACCUCCCUUCCAAGAUCUGUACCAUGGCCAUAGAAUCAGUUUCAAUAAUGACAUGUGAUAAAUGAUGCUCCUUACAAAAAAACAAUCCUUCUCUAAUAGCUCUAGCUUCAGCUACCAAAUUAGAGGUAUCUUGUAUCUUGAAUCCUUUAGCCACCAUCAAUGAGCCAGAGUAAUCUCUUAUUCAAAAGGCCGCAGAGCUAGGUCCUGGAUUACCCCUAGAUGCACCAUCUGUAUUGCAUUUCACCCAAUUAGUAGGGAGAGGGAUCCAUCUCACAAUGUUAAUGCUAUAGUUAUUUCUAUGCCCCUGUAAAUUAGUAAUGAUAUCCGGCCAACUGUUCCUUCCUAUAUCUCUUUCGAACCUUAUUUUAAUCACCUUCAGAAUAUUGUCAUUAAUCUCCCAAAUGACCUUUCUUUCUGAGAAUGAGCCACCAUGUAAAAUAGUGUUCCUUCUCCUCCACAAACACC